rnacentral:rRNA from 1 species
UACGAAGGGGGCUAGCGUUGUUCGGAAUUACUGGGCGUAAAGGGCGCGUAGGCGGCUCUGAUCGUCGGAUGUGAAAGGCCUGGGCUCAACCUGGGAAUGGCAUCCGAUACGGCGGGGCUGGAGUGUGGGAGAGGGAUGCGGAAUUCCAGGUGUAGCGGUGAAAUGCGUAGAUAUCUGGAGGAACACCGGUGGCGAAGGCGGCAUCCUGGACCAACACUGACACUGAGGAGCGAAAGCCAGGGGAGCAAACGGG